AAGUGCUUGGGCUCCAGGGGGAGUAUGGUCGCAAGGUUGAAACUUAAGGAAAUUGACGGAAGGGCACCACCAGGGGUGGAGCCUGCGGCUUAAUUUGACUCAACACGGGAAACUCACCAGGUCCAGACACAACGAGGAUUGACAGAUUGAGAGCUCUUUCUUGAUUUUGUGGGUGGUGGUGCAUGGCCGUUCUUAGUUGGUGGAGUGAUUUGUCUGCUUAAUUGCGAUAACGAACGAGACCUUAACCUGCUAACUAGUCCGUAUUACCCCGGUAGUACGCCGACUUCUUAGAGGGACUAUCGGCUCAAGCCGAUGGAAGUUUGAGGCAAUAACAGGUCUGUGAUGCCCUUAGAUGUUCUGGGCCGCACGCGCGUUACACUGACGGGGCCAGCGAGUACUGCCUUGGCCGAAAGGUCCGGGUAAUCUUGUGAAACCCCGUCGUGC
rnacentral:rRNA from 1 species